CCUACGGGCGGCUGCAGUGGGGAAUAUUGGGCAAUGGGCGCAAGCCUGACCCAGCAACGCCGCGUGAAGGAAGAAGGCUUUCGGGUUGUAAACUUUUUUUGACAGGGAAGUGUAGAAGACGGUACCUGUCGAAUAAGCCACGGCUAACUACGGGCCAGCAGCCGCGGUAAUACGGAGGUGGCAAGCGUUGUCCGGAUUUACUGGGUGUAAAGGGAGCGCAGACGGCAAUGCAAGUCUGGAGUGAAAGGCGGGGGCCCAACCCCCGGACUGCACUGGGUACUGUAUAGCUAGAGUGCAGGAGAGGUAAGUGGAAUUCGUGGUGUAGCGGUGAAAUGCGUAGAUAUUAGGAAGAACACCGAUGGCGAAGGCGGCUUACUGGACUGUAACUGACGUUGAUGCUCGAAAGCGUGGGGAGCAAACAGGAUUAGAUACCCGAGUAGUC
rnacentral:rRNA from 1 species